GGGAAACGGGGUCAGCUGGGGGUGGCAGUUCCAGGCCGCGAGGCCGGGCUCCUGGGUCGGUGGGCUGGUGUCUUGGCGGACGUCCCGCAGCUGCCGCGUGGAUCCGAGCCGGGGCACCCGCCGUGACUGGGACAGCCCCCAGGGCGCUCUCGGCCCCAUCCCGAGUAGCGCGGCCUGGCUGCUGCCGCCAUCAAGCACGUUCGAGCCAAAAGCUCCUAACGAGUCACUCGUUAGACACGUGUGCGGAGCCUGUGUCCCAGGCCAGUGCUGUCCCGUGGAGAUAGAUUGCAAGCCGCUAGGGAAUUUUUUAACUUUCUAGUAGGUGUACGAAAAAAGUAAAACGAAACAAAUCAAUUGGAGUAAAUCCAUAAAUAUAUUCAAACUAUUAUUUCAAUUGUAUGUGAAAAAAUUAUUGGGAUAUUCUUUGUACUAUUCUUAGAAAUCCAUUGUGUGUCCAACCCAAACAUCACAGUUGGACUCACCACAUCUCCUGUACUUCGUAGCCCUAGGUGGCUAGUGGCAUAAGACACAAAAAUCUCAGCUCUCCUGGAGCUUAUGGUCUAGUUGGAGCAGGCAGACAAUACAUUUAAAAUAUACAGUUUGUUAGAAGGUGCCGGAGAGCUGGAUGGAGGCAGAUCGGGAAUUCCAUUUGGGGCAAACUGAACUUGAUUGAGACCCUGGUAGUUGUCCAGAUGGAACAGGACACCUGAGUCUAGGGUUCGGGAAGAACUCCAGAUGGGACAAACACUCCUAGCUUUCCUUUUCUCUUUUUGGAUGACCGCUACAGGUGAACCUCCUUGGCCUGGGCGA
rnacentral:lncRNA from 10 species